UGCUUGCAUCAUGAUUUACAUUUGAGUGAGUGGCGAACUGGUGAGUAACACGUGGGAAACCUGCCCAGAAGCGGGGGAUAACACCUGGAAACAGAUGCUAAUACCGCAUAACAACUUGGACCGCAUGGUCCGAGCUUGAAAGAUGGCUUCGGCUAUCACUUUUGGAUGGUCCCGCGGCGUAUUAGCUAGAUGGUGGGGUAACGGCUCACCAUGGCAAUGAUACGUAGCCGACCUGAGAGGGUAAUCGGCCACAUUGGGACUGAGACACGGCCCAAACUCCUACGGGAGGCAGCAGUAGGGAAUCUUCCACAAUGGACGAAAGUCUGAUGGAGCAACGCCGCGUGAGUGAAGAAGGGUUUCGGCUCGUAAAACUCUGUUGUUAAAGAAGAACAUAUCUGAGAGUAACUGUUCAGGUAUUGACGGUAUUUAACCAGAAAGCCACGGCUAACUACGUGCCAGCAGCCGCGGUAAUACGUAGGUGGCAAGCGUUGUCCGGAUUUAUUGGGCGUAAAGCGAGCGCAGGCGGUUUUUUAAGUCUGAUGUGAAAGCCUUCGGCUCAACCGAAGAAGUGCAUCGGAAACUGGGAAACUGGAGUGCAGAAGAGGACAGUGGAACUCCAUGUGUAGCGGUGAAAUGCGUAGAUAUAUGGAAGAACACCAGUGGCGAAGGCGGCUGUCUGGUCUGUAACUGACGCUGAGGCUCGAAAGUAUGGGUAGCAAACAGGAUUAGAUACCCUGGUAGUCCAUACCGUAAACGAUGAAUGCUAAGUGUUGGAGGGUUUCUCGCCCUU
rnacentral:rRNA from 2 species